UGCGCAGGCGGCUUAUUAAGUCAGUGGUGAAAUCUCUCGGCUCAACCGAGAAACUGCCAUUGAAACUGAUAAGCUUGAGUGUAGUUGUAGUAGGCGGAAUAUAGCAUGUAGCGGUGAAAUGCUUAGAUAUGCUAUAGAACACCGAUCGCGAAGGCAGCUUACUAAACUAUCACUGACGCUCAUGCACGAAAGCGUGGGGAGCAAACAGGAUUAGAUACCCUGGUAGUCC
rnacentral:rRNA from 1 species